rnacentral:rRNA from 1 species
UACAGAGGUCCCGAGCGUUGUUCGGAUUCAUUGGGCGUAAAGCGCGCGUAGGCGGCCCUGUAAGUCCGUUGUGAAAGUCAAAGGCUCAACCUUUGAAAGCCGAUGGAUACUGCAGGGCUAGAGUCCGGAAGAGGCGAGUGGAAUUCCUGGUGUAGCGGUGGAAUGCGCAGAUAUCAGGAGGAACACCAAUAGCGAAGGCAGCUCGCUGGGACGGUACUGACGCUAAGGCGCGAAAGCGUGGGGAGCGAACAGG